rnacentral:hammerhead_ribozyme from 1 species
AUCCAGAUGACGCGUCCCAAACAGGAUGAAACGUGCGUCCAGGAU